AUUGAACGCUGGCGGCAUGCUUUACACAUGCAAGUCGAACGGCAGCACGGGUGCUUGCACCUGGUGGCGAGUGGCGGACGGGUGAGUAAUGCAUCGGAACGUGUCCUGAAGUGGGGGAUAACGCAUCGAAAGAUGUGCUAAUACCGCAUAUUCUCUGAGGAGGAAAGUAGGGGAUCGAAAGACCUUAUGCUUUUGGAGCGGCCGAUGUCUGAUUAGCUAGUUGGUAGGGUAAUGGCUUACCAAGGCGACGAUCAGUAGUUGGUCUGAGAGGACGACCAGCCACACUGGGACUGAGACACGGCCCAGACUCCUACGGGAGGCAGCAGUGGGGAAUUUUGGACAAUGGGCGCAAGCCUGAUCCAGCAAUGCCGCGUGAGUGAAGAAGGCCUCGGUUGUAAGACUCUUUCAGUUUGAGUAAGAAAAGUACGUGACUAAUAAUACAU
rnacentral:rRNA from 1 species